rnacentral:rRNA from 1 species
AAUCGCAGAAUUCAGUGAAUCAUCGAAUCUUUGAACGCACAUUGCGCCCCUUGGUAUCCCGAGGGGCAUGCCUGUUCGAGCGUCAUU